GAUGAACGCUGGCGGCGUGCCUAAUACAUGCAAGUCGAGCGAACGGACGAGAAGCUUGCUUCUCUGAUGUUAGCGGCGGACGGGUGAGUAACACGUGGAUAACCUACCUAUAAGACUGGGAUAACUUCGGGAAACCGGAGCUAAUACCGGAUGAUAUUUUGAACCGCAUGGUUCAAAAGUGAAAGACGGUCUUGCUGUCACUUAUAGAUGGAUCCGCGCUGCAUUAGCUAGUUGGUAAGGUAACGGCUUACCAAGGCAACGAUGCAUAGCCGACCUGAGAGGGUGAUCGGCCACACUGGAACUGAGACACGGUCCAGGCUCCUACGGGAGGCAGCAGUAGGGAAUCUUCCGCAAUGGGCGAAAGCCUGACGGAGCAACGCCGCGUGUGUGAUGAAGGUCUUCGGAUCGUAAAACUCUGUUAUUAGGGAAGAACAUUUGUGUAAGUAACUGUGCACAUCUUGACGGUACCUAAUCAGAAAGCCACGGCUAACUACGUG
rnacentral:rRNA from 1 species